CUUUGGUGAGGCUAAUGGUGGACUCCAGGAGGGCUCAGGCCAAGGAGUAUUUCCCAGAACUUCUGCUUCCCGUGUCCUUGUCCCUGUGGUGAGCCACAGCCACCCCCCGCCUCUGCAGGAGACCCUCCAAUACUAGCAGAUGCCUGAUCUGGGAAGAGAGAGGGGAGUGAGAGGAAGAAGCUGCAAGGUCAGGAGAAGCCAUCUUUGCAUCCUGAGAUUCCUCUCCAUCAUCGUCACAGGGACCAGCUCAUAUCCCCGCCUCACAGUCACAGGGCAUAAUCCAGUUACCUCGUUCCCCCACAAGUUCUCUGUCUUUGGGAAGAAGACCCUGAACCCCAAAGCUUAGUGUUCCCAAAAGAAAAAAAAAAGGGGACUAGUACAACCCA